rnacentral:rRNA from 1 species
AACGAACGCUGGCGGCAUGCCUAACACAUGCAAGUCGAACGAGACCUUCGGGUCUAGUGGCGCACGGGUGCGUAACGCGUGGGAACCUGCCCUUAGGUUCGGAAUAACUCCCCGAAAGGGGUGCUAAUACCGGAUAAUGUCUUCGGACCAAAGGUUUAUCGCCUUUGGAUGGGCCCGCGUUGGAUUAGCUAGUUGGUAGGGUAAAAGCCUACCAAGGCGACGAUCCAUAGCUGGUCUGAGAGGAUGAUCAGCCACACUGGGACUGAGACACGGCCCAGACUCCUACGGGAGGCAGCAGUGGGGAAUAUUGGACAAUGGGCGAAAGCCUGAUCCAGCAAUGCCGCGUGAGUGAUGAAAGCCUUAGGGUUGUAAAGCUCUUUUACCCGGGAUGAUAAUGACAGUACCGGGAGAAUAAGCUCCGGCUAACUCCGUG